rnacentral:rRNA from 1 species
AGGGUUUGAUUAUGGCUCAGAUUGAACGCUGGCGGCAGGCCUAACACAUGCAAGUCGAGCGGAUGACGGGAGCUUGCUCCUGAAUUCAGCGGCGGACGGGUGAGUAAUGCCUAGGAAUCUGCCUGGUAGUGGGGGACAACGUUUCGAAAGGAACGCUAAUACCGCAUACGUCCUACGGGAGAAAGCAGGGGACCUUCGGGCCUUGCGCUAUCAGAUGAGCCUAGGUCGGAUUAGCUAGUUGGUGAGGUAAUGGCUCACCAAGGCGACGAUCCGUAACUGGUCUGAGAGGAUGAUCAGUCACACUGGAACUGAGACACGGUCCAGACUCCUACGGGAGGCAGCAGUGGGGAAUAUUGGACAAUGGGCGAAAGCCUGAUCCAGCCAUGCCGCGUGUGUGAAGAAGGUCUUCGGAUUGUAAAGCACUUUAAGUUGGGAGGAAGGGCAUUAACCUAAUACGUUAGUGUUUUGACGUUACCGACAGAAUAAGCACCGGCUAACUCUGUGCCAGCAGCCGCGGUAAUACAGAGGGUGCAAGCGUUAAUCGGAAUUACUGGGCGUAAAGCGCGCGUAGGUGGUUUGUUAAGUUGGAUGUGAAAGCCCCGGGCUCAACCUGGGAACUGCAUUCAAAACUGACAAGCUAGAGUAUGGUAGAGGGUGGUGGAAUUUCCUGUGUAGCGGUGAAAUGCGUAGAUAUAGGAAGGAACACCAGUGGCGAAGGCGACCACCUGGACUGAUACUGACACUGAGGUGCGAAAGCGUGGGGAGCAAACAGGAUUAGAUACCCUGGUAGUCCACGCCGUAAACGAUGUCAACUAGCCGUUGGGAGCCUUGAGCUCUUAGUGGCGCAGCUAACGCAUUAAGUUGACCGCCUGGGGGAGUACGGCCGCAAGGUUAAAACUCAAAUGAAUUUGACGGGGGCCCGCACAAGCGGUGGAGCAUGUGGUUUAAU